rnacentral:lncRNA from 1 species
AUAAUUUUUAAGAAGUAUUAACUCUUGUUUUUCUAAAACCUAGAUCUUGGGACAUACUAAAAGGAAAGAAAAUGUUCAAUAGCAAUGAUGUUUUAUAAUUUCAUGGGGACAAGAACUUGGGAUCCACCAAAAGGAGGACAUGAAAAGGGCUGUAACACGUUCUUGGCCAGAUUGCUGAGCUCUGGAUGGUGACAUGCUCCUGUUUGCUGGACCAGAAGUAAAGUGCAGCCACCCUUUGCGGGGCCCAGGCCUCAGGAUUUUCCAAGCCAGAGUUUAAACACGAUAGCCUUCGUGCUCCAGUGACACGAAGUGGUGGAGAGGAGCCCGGGAGACACUGGACAGAGCAAAGCAUGGGACUGAAGGAGCUGAAACAUGUCCCUGCCCAUUUGCAGAGCUGUGGGUGGUGGGAAUGAGAGAGUUGUAGCACACCCCCCAACCCUAGGAGCUCUGCAGCUGUUGGCGUCUCCAAGUUUUCUGGGACCAUGGCAUUCCCCUUUUCCUGACCGGAUGCUGGCACCUGCAGCAGAAGUGGCUUGUUGUACGCCUAGUCCAGCUACUGCCUCGCAUGGAGCCGGUGCCUGUGACAGUACCUGGAGCUGCCCACCCUGCCACAGCAGUUGGCAUGCCUGGCUGUGUGCAGUAGCCCUGCACUCACUCGCUCACACAUCCCUCAUUCCUCUGCACCUGGCUGGCCCUUGGCAGGCAUGGGAUCCAGGCUGGUAGUACAAGCAGAGCACUGCCUGCCAGUCCCAAUAGGUGGAACAAGCCCAGUGGGCAUGAGGGAAACUCAGGCAGAGACACUGACAGCCACAGAGGUUUCCAGCUGGCAAAGCAACACCUAAAGGAUCCUGUGACAUCGUCAUAACCUAAAGUCCGUAGUUUACAUUACAGCUCACUCUUGGCAUUAUUUAUGCUAUGGGUUUUGAAAAAUAUAUAGUGAUGUGUAUCCACAAUGUACAGAAAAGUUUCACUUCCCCAGAAAUCCUCUUUGUUCUUCCUAUUCAUCUCUCCCUCUCCCUUAAUUCCUGGGAACUGCUUAUCUUUUUACUCUCUUCAUAGUUUUGCCUUUUCUAGAAUGAUAUGGUUGAAAUCAUACAGUACAAAGCCUUUCAGACUGGCUUUUUUCUUUUAGUAAUAUGCAUUUAAGAUAUUGUUUUAUGUCUUUUUAUAGUUUGGUAGUUCAUUUAUUUUUCAGCACUGAAUAGUAUUCUAUUGUCUGGAUGUACCGUAGUUUAUCAACUCAUCUACUAAAGAACAUCUUGGUUGCUUGGUUGCUUUCAAAUUUUGUCAAUUAUGACUAAAGCUGCUAUCAAUAUUUACAUACAGUUUUUGUGUGGAUAUAAGUUUUCAAUUCAUUUGGGUAAAUAUUAUAGAAUGUGGUAGUUGGAUCAUAUGGUAUUAAUAUGUUUUAUUUGUAUAAGAAAAUACCAAACUCACUUCCAACGUGGUUAUACUAUUUGGUAUUCCCACCAGAAAUAAAUGAGACUUCCAUCUUGUUCACAUGCUUGCCAUCAUUUGGUGUUUUCAGUGUUUUAGAUUUUGCCUAUUUCAACAGAAGUGUAGUGGUAUCUAAUUAUUAUUUUAAUUUUAAUAUUUUAUUUUCUAAUGACACAUGAUUUUUAACAUUUUUUCAUUUUCAUACUUGCCAUUUGUGUAUUUUCAUUGGUGAAAUAUGUGUACAGAUCCCUUGCCCAGUUUUUAAAAUCAGUUUGUUUUCUUAAUUUUGAGUUACUUUGUAUAUUUUGGAUACUGCACCUUUAUCAAUAUAUGUUUGUAAUUAUAUUAUCCUAAUCUUUGUGACAUAUAGUCAUAUACAGGGCAACAGUUUUAAAUUUUAAUGAAGUCCAGGUUAUCAAUUCUUUUUUUCGUGGAUGAUGCUGAUUAUGUUGUAUCUAAAAAGUCAUCACCAUAUCCCAGGUUAUCAAGGUUUUCUCCUAUGUAAUCUUCAAAGAGUUUGAGUUUUGGCUCUUACAUUUGUGUCUGUAAUCUAUUUUGAGUUAAUUAUUGUAAAUAUUGUGAGAUCUGUGUCUAGAUUAUUUGUUUGUUUGCAUGUAAUGUCUAAAAUCCAUUGUUUUACCAUCGAUUGAAAAGACUAUCUCUGCUUCAUUGCAUUGCUUUUGUUUCUUUGUCAAAGAUCAAUUAGUUGAUUAUAAGUAUGUGGGUCUCCUUCUGAACUCUUUAUUCUAAUGUAUUAAUCUAUUUGUCUAUUCUUUCAUCAUUGCCACGUCUUGAUUAUUGUAACAUUAUAGUUUGUCUUUAAGUUAGAGAGAGUCCUCUAGUUUUGUUCUUUUCCUUCAAUACUGACUUGUUAGUCUGGAUAUUUUACCUUCCCAUAUAAUCUGGAAUUGGCUUGUUGAUAUGCACAAAAUAACCUGCUGGAAUUUUGAUGAAAAUUAUGUUAAAUCUAUAUAUUGAGAUGGGAAAACUGACAUAUUGGUAAUGUUUUUCUUUCCUACCCAUGAACGUAGAGUAUUUCUCCAUUUAUUUACUUUUUCCUUGUUAUCUUUCAUCGGAGGUUUAUAGUUCUCCUCAUAUAAUUUUGAACAUAUUUGGUUUAUACCUAAGUAUUUCAUUUUUGAGGUGCUAAUUUAAAUGGUA